rnacentral:rRNA from 1 species
GAUGAACGCUGGCGGCGUGCCUAAUACAUGCAAGUCGAGCGGACAGACGAAAAUCUUUCUCCUCUUUCGUUAGCGUCGGAAGGGGGAGUAACACGUGGGUAUCCUACCUAUUUUACUUUGGUAUAUUCUCGUAACCGGAUCUAUUAUCGCUUAUUUUCUUUCUCCGCAUGGUUCAGUAGUUAAAGAAGGUUUUUUUGUCACUUGUUGAUCUCUCCGUGACGCAUUAGCUAGUUGGUAUGGUGACGGCUUAACAAGGCAACGAUGCGUAGGCGUGCUAGGAGGGUGAUCGGACACACUGGAAAUGAGACACGGUCCAGACGCCUAAGGGAGGCAGCAGUAGGGAAAGUUGCGCAAAGUGCGAAAGGGUGACGGAGCAAAGCCGCGUGAGUGAUGAAGGUGUUCGGAUCGUAAAACUCUGUUAUUAGGGAAGAACAAAUGAGUAAGUAACUAUGCACGGCUUGAAGGUAACGGAUCAGAAAGCCACGGCUAACUACGUG